rnacentral:misc_RNA from 1 species
AACGCACAUUGCGCCCUUUGGCAUUCCGAAGGGCAUGCCUGUUCGAGCGUCAUUAUCACCCCUCAAGCCCCCGGCUUGGUGUUGGACGGUUUGGCGGAGGCCCCUUCGCGGGGCUCCUGCCCCUCCCAAAGACAAUGACGGCGGCCUCGUUGGACCCCCGGUACACUGAGUUCUUCACGGGACACGUACUGGAGUAAGGGUGCGCGGGGCACGGUCUGCCUCCCCUUUCAGGGAGAACUUAUUUACAAGGUUGACCUCGGAUCAGGUAGGGAUACCCGCUGAACUUAA